rnacentral:rRNA from 1 species
CUGCAGGCUGCAACUCGCCUGCACGAAGCCGGAGUUGCUAGUAAUCGCGGAUCAGAAUGCCGCGGUGAAUGCGUUCCCGGGUCUUGUACACACCGCCCGUCACACCAUGGAAGUUGGGGGUGCCCAAAGCCGGCAGGGAAAUAUNCUGUCUAAGGCAAAACCAAUGACUGGGGUGAAGUCGUAACAAGGUAUC